UGAUUAAAUAUGACUCUGCCUAAGACUCAGGUGGCACCAGCCUUAAUUAAUGCCUGCCGAGGAAGAAAUGAAAUGUUCCUUCUCUAUGUCUGCCGGUCAUAGGGAUUUUUUUAAAUCCGA
rnacentral:sRNA from 1 species